CACCACCCCACACACACACACACACACACACACACACACACACACACACACACACACACACACACACACACACACACACACACACACACACACACAAAAUGUCUGACCUGAACUAUUCCUGGGUUGCAUAUUUCAUUCCUGUCUGCCCUCAAGCAGCCAACAGAAAUCCAGCGGUUCUGAUUUACCUGCGGAUAAAUCUAAGGGCAUAUGUGUUGGAUUUAGCGCCAUAGUACAGUUUAGAGUUUACAGCGUUGCUUUAUGACGGAAGCUCAUGCAGCUGGUCCCCAGUAGACCGAGUGCAGUGAGGUUUACCGGAUGACUCGAUAAACAAAGAUUGCUGCGGCCAUAGUGAAGGAGCAUGGUGUGCUUCAGGGACAAGGACAGGACCGUGGUUUACUAUCAGCUGCUUGGGGGCAAACACGACGUGAACCCACCGGUUGUGGGGAUUGAUUGUGCCGGUGUGGUGGUACGCCGGCCAGGUGAACUGAGCCAUCCAAACAGUGCUCCCUGACCAGCAACAGCCCACCAGCUCCCCUUCCCAGUCUCCGGCUUCAUUGACAGCCAGUCCCACGCCAUGGUCAGGAGGAAACCAUGGAAAAGUCAUGGCUACCGACGGGGAGAGAGAAAUGAGCAGCAGAGAACAGGUAACCUCAUUCCCCAGAACGCCUGGAUGCG
ensembl:lncRNA